rnacentral:rRNA from 1 species
GCUCGUAGGCGGCUUGUCGCGUCUGCUGUGAAAACCGGCGGGGCUUAACUCCGCGCGUGCAGUGGGUACGGGCAGGCUAGAGUGUGGUAGGGGUGACUGGAAUUCCUGGUGUAGCGGUGGAAUGCGCAGAUAUCAGGAGGAACACCGAUGGCGAAGGCAGGUCACUGGGCCAUUACUGACGCUGAGGAGCGAAAGCGAUGGGGAGCGAACA